rnacentral:lncRNA from 1 species
CUAAUUUUAAAUAUUAUAUUUAUUGAGUAAUUAUUUUAUUAAUGGGAACAUUUGGGUAUUUAUACAUACUAUUACUGUUCAAUCCCAAGUAGGAUUCGAGUCGCCUACCCACGACUUGGAUAGGUCCCACCAAAUGAUUGAGCGUGAUGCGAACCGUGAGAGGAUAAUAAAGGAAGCUCACGGACCUAGCUCGCAAAGGGAGCUCAUGGAUCUAACUCGCAAGGAGAGCUCGCACGAACCAAGGGAAGGCUGUUGUUUCAGUUCGCAUAUACCCAAUGAGCUCGCAGAAGGGAGGCCACGUUGUUUGGUAGGCAAUCCAGAGUGAAACACGUGUCUUGCAUAUCUGAAGUCCGCUCAGAAUGUCAAUUCUAGGAAUAGUGGGGUCAAGUCAUGAACAAUAGGAUCAUGUCGUGGACAAUAAUAGUAUGUAUAAAUACUCGAAUAUUUCCAUUAAGAAGAUAUGAGAUAAAAUUACUCAAUAAUAUUACAAAUAUUUUAUCCAAAUUCUAUACAUAGAG